rnacentral:lncRNA from 1 species
AAAUUUUAAUUCCUUCAGUUUUAAGGGUGGGCAGUUCGGGCUGGUGGCCGGUUGGGCAGUUGCGAGUGUCUGUGUGAUGGUGAGGAAAGCGGAAGUUACGAAUGGGAUGCAGGUAGCUUAGGACCAAGGCAGACAGCUUAGAACUGAGGCAGACAGCUUAGGAUUGAGGCAGGUAGGCAGUUGGUAUAGGAAUCAGUGGGGGGCACUUGUCAUUUCGGCCAUGGGAUUCAAAAUUUGCAUGUCGAGUAUUUGUUACUAAUGCUUGCUGUUUUACAUUUGCUAGGUAUGCGCGUGGCUGCUCUCAAGAGAAGAUCGACUUAGCAAUUUGCAUUAUUUUGCAUUUGCAAGGUUGGUCUUCUCUUCGCCUCGCUACCCCGGCUGGCUCUCCGAGUGCUACCUCUACUUUAAGUAGAAGUACUUUUACUAUAUAGUAGAAGUACUUCUGCUUGAAGUAGAGGUAGUACUUGGGGAGCCGGCCGGGGUGGGGGAAUUUUUUUUAUUUUUUUUUUCAAUUCCCAUGGGAAUUGAAUUUUUAAUUAAAAAGGAGUCUCUUGUAUAAUUAAUGAACAAUUUAUUGAAAAGAAUUGUAAUUACAAAUUGAAUAACAAUAAAAAGAGAACAACCACUGCAUACUUAUUUAAAUAACAAUAGAAGAAAACAGAACAUGGCACAAAGACAACAAUUAACAUUGUGUUCAACACAAGUGAAUAAGCACAAGUGAAAACACAACAUUAAAAAACUUGUUUGCCCACGAAUUAACAUUAAAAAAGUUAAUUCUUCAGGAAACAAGAGAACCUGGUCUUUUCAAGAUAAUGUUUAUACUUCAAAAUAAAUAUUGUAAAACAACUGUAAUGAUAAAUUUUACGAGUUUGACGGAGAAAUCAAAAGCGUAACACCAGGUUGUUUUACAAAGAAAAUAUAUGGCUCAAAGACAAAGUAAAUUGAACAUGCUCUUUUACUUUUUUGAAUACGAACUGUUUUUGGUAAAGUGACCAAAAUUUUCGCUUGAGUAUGGAAAAUAAUGAUUUUAUCGCGAUGUUUAGGUGCUAAGAGAAGUCCAUUCGUUGUAAUGCGAGAUCAAUUGUCAAGUGGUUGGCAAGAAAUUGUCGUUUACAACAAAUUCCAUUUCUUGAAGCAAAUUAAUUUCCUCAAAGUGGCUUAACAUUUUGACAAUGCAUUGACAGCAUACCUCUUU